rnacentral:piRNA from 1 species
UGGAGACUAAAAACCUGGUACAG